rnacentral:rRNA from 1 species
GACGAACGCUGGCGGCGUGCUUAACACAUGCAAGUCGAGCGGUAAGGCCCUUUCGGGGGUACACGAGCGGCGAACGGGUGAGUAACACGUGGGUGACCUGCCCUCAGCUCUGGGAUAAGCCUGGGAAACUGGGUCUAAUACUGGAUAUGACUCCACGGUGCAUGUCGGUGGGGUGGAAAGCCUUGUGCGGCUGAGGAUGGGCCCGCGGCCUAUCAGCUUGUUGGUGGGGNGAUGGCCUACCAAGGCGACGACGGGUAGCCGGCCUGAGAGGGCGACCGGCCACACUGGGACUGAGACACGGCCCAGACUCC